rnacentral:rRNA from 1 species
GACGAACGCUGGCGGCGUGCUUAACACAUGCAAGUCGAACGGAAAGGCCCUGCUUUUGUGUGGUGCUCGAGUGGCGAACGGGUGAGUAACACGUGAGUCACCUGCCCUUGACUUUGUGAUAACUUCAGGAAACUGGGGCUAAUACCGGCUAGGAGCUCCUGCUGCAUGGUGGGGUUUGGAAAGUUUAGGCGGUUGGGGAUGGACUCGCGGCUUAUCAGCUUGUUGGUGGGGUAGUUGCUUACCAAGCCUUUGACGGGUAGCCGGCCUGAGAGGGUGACCGGGGACAUUGGGACUGAGAUACGGCCCAGUCUCCUACGGGAGGCAGCAGUGGAGAAUAUUGCACAAUGGGCGGAAGCGUGAUGCAGAAACGCCGCGUGCGGGAUGACGGCCUUCGGGUUGUAAACCGCUUUCGCCUGUGACGAAGCGUGAGUGACGGUACUGGGUAAAGAAGCACCGGCUAACUACGUG